UUGAAGGCACCUAUCGAAGCCGUUCAUGUUCUUUAGUAGCAGAGGACGGUCAAAAGGAUGCCAAAAUGAAUACUUUCACCGACGGUCGCUGUUCAGUUCAGUGUAACUGUCUCAGCAACAUUUAGGGAAAGGACAUUA
ensembl:snoRNA